rnacentral:lncRNA from 1 species
CUCUAGCUUCUAUAGCAUAUCGCUCGAGAAGUGGUGCUAUAAGUCCUAUCCUCCCCAAUCUUCUUUGGAGCUUUUGAGAGGUUCCAAGCCCUCUCCUGUCCUGUCCCCUUCAGAGCAUAAGUUUCUUCCUUAUCUAGUUCUGAGACCGUCAAUCGUCCACAUAGAGAGAGAGAGAGAGAGAGAGUUUACCUGUCCCUUCUUAUCAACCUUCCGAGUGUCAAGACCCA